rnacentral:rRNA from 1 species
AUGACGGAGGCCCUGAAUGACAAAUACUUGGGCUUGCCAGCAAAUGUGGGCGUUGAUAAAACAGACUGCUUUAAAUUUCUGAUUGAACGUGUUGUUAAGAAAAUUAGUGGCUGGAAGGAAAAACUACUAUCUGCCGGGGGGAAGGAGAUCCUGCUCAAGGCUGUGAUCCUAGCCAUACCUACCUAUGCAAUGUCGGUCUUUAAAAUUCCUAAAAAAAUUUGUAAAGGAAUCAUUGACGCGAUAGCGCAUUUCUGGUGGGGAGACGAGGAGAACCAGAGGAGGAUGCACUGGAUGGCCUGGUGGAAAAUGUGUGUACCAAAAAACCAAGGAGGAAUGGGAUUUUGUGAUAUCCACUGUUUAACCUGGCUCUGUUGGCCAAACAGGCAUGGCGUCUCCUUGAUAAUCCUGAUUCCUUGUGUGCCACUAUUCUAA